rnacentral:ncRNA from 2 species
AACAUCAUCGCCGUUGCUGGUUUCCCCUACACGGGAAUUAAUAAGGAAUCGUGUGUAAAUCACGAGCUGUCGCGCAACUGUAAUCCCGCCUUCGUGAACGUGAAGGUCAGCGCUUGUUCAAGUAUGCCAUUGUCCGCCAUCGGUGGACGAGAAGGCGAACAAGGGUCGGGAAAGCCAGGAGACUUGCCUGUAACGCAUUGACUUU